rnacentral:rRNA from 1 species
UACGGGGGGGGCAAGCGUUGUUCGGAAUUACUGGGCGUAAAGGGCUCGUAGGCGGCCAACUAAGUCAGACGUGAAAUCCCUCGGCUUAACCGGGGAACUGCGUCUGAUACUGGAUGGCUUGAGAUUGGGAGAGGGAUGCGGAAUUCCAGGUGUAGCGGUGAAAUGCGUAGAUAUCUGGAAGAACACCGGUGGCGAAGGCGGCCCACUGGUCCGGUACUGACGCUGAGGUGCGAAAGCGUGGGGAGCAAACAGG